UUAAGAUAAUUUCUUUCUUUGGAGCGUUUGGCUGUUGCUGUGCUGCUGUCGGCCACCUUGAAAUCAAGUGUGGAGGAGUGAACUCCACAUCUAUCCAUCCAUUUCUACCGCUUGUCCCGCUCGGAGUCGCAGGGGGUGCUGGAGCCUAUCUCAGCUGUUCACUCAUCGCAGGGAGGAGUGAACUCAUUAAGGCAUUCAAUCGAUUCAACUGGACUGUUUUGUUUGUUUUGGAAGACGUUUCGCCGCUCAUCCAAUGCAAUAUUUACAGGAAAGAGGGAGGAGCACUAAAAACCUGGCAGAUCAUCCAUUACGUUUGAUGUUGGAUGACAUGACUCAAUGUGAAGCUGAGAAAAGGACACAGAGGACAUUGAGUUGCAACCAAUGGACCAUAAAAUUUGUGCCACUGGGGAAUCACAGAUAGGAUAACUCUCGAUGUCAGCAAUCAUAAAUCUACUGGCAUUUACUCCGGCUCUCUUCUGUGCUUCUAUGCUAGAUUUCCAAUGAAAUAUCUACUAAUAAAGGCCUGAUUAAAAAGAAAAUAACAUAGAAUUAAAUGUGUACUACGAAGUUCCGAUUUUACAUGAAU